ensembl:lincRNA
UUGUUGUGUCUUUUGGGGACCUUGUCAGUUGCCUUCCAAGUGCUAAUUCUCAUGACGAGAUAAGAAUGGCUGUGACUGGGUGUUGAUUGAUGAGCCGAACACAUUGAAUCCUGGAGUUUGAGGUUAUCAGAACUCCCCAUUUAGAAAAUCAUCCUUUAUGUUUUAGAAAAUCAUCAUUGUAUGUUGAACAUACAAUGCUUCUUUUUUCUUCAUCUCCAGGUGAAUAGACAGUCUUUCAUGUAUACUUUCACAGAGAAAUCUCUCAAGAACUCAAAGAGAUUCGGAGAUUACUGCCACUGUGUUUCAACUGUCGCUGGCUGUGUUUCAACUGCCGCUGUGUUGGAACUGCCAGCUAGACUCCUCACCAAAAUGGGAGGUAGCCUCUGCUGCUGUGGUGAAGGUGAAGGCUUCUUCUACCGCCAGAAUUGGCAGUUUCCCUCGCUGGAUUCUUGGGACCUGAUCCAGGCAGCACACUCGACACACUCAGCGAUUCAGCUCUACAGUAUGCACUCUGGGAUCUCCCAUUUGCUAAGGAAAGAUCUUAGCUUUGAGAAAGUGGCAAGAGAUCCCCUCUUGAGGAGACUCCGCAGGAACACCAGAGAUGAUAGUGACACACGACAACUGAAGGUCAGGCCACCUGGUUUCGUCUGGGAAAAAGCAGAGGUACAGGCUGAGGAGAAAGGUGUCAAGCCUGUGGCAGCAGAGCUUCCUGGGGAGUCCUCAGAGCAAGUCAUUGCCAUUGUCGAAGUGUCUUCUAGGCUUUAUUUUGGGGCCAUUACCUCGAGCACUGUUUCUUGUCUGGUUUCCUAA